UACAGAGGUGGCAAGCGUUGUUCGGAAUUACUGGGCGUAAAGGGCGCGUAGGUGGCCUUCUUAGUCAGACGUGAAAUCCCCGGGCUUAACUCGGGAACUGCGUCUGAUACUGGCAGGCUAGAGUGCGGUAGAGGAUGGCGGAAUUCCCGGUGUAGCAGUGAAAUGCGUAGAGAUCGGGAGGAACAUCUGUGGCGAAGGCGGCCAUCUGGACCAGCACUGACACUGAGGCACGAAAGCGUGGGGAGCAAACAGG
rnacentral:rRNA from 1 species